rnacentral:lncRNA from 1 species
AAGUGGUACAUUUAACAAGGUAUGAAGGAAACACUAUUUAGUGUAAGGAAAUAGGAAUGCAUUGAAAGGAGAAAAAGAGCGUGACUUCUUUGGUACCACUCCCUAAAACUCUGAACACCACCCCUUCCAGAAAAAAACUUACUGACAUUGUAUUUUUUUUCAUGAUGGGUCCAUUGUGUGAGCUAUUCCCUCCCCCUUGUUUUAAAUAGUGAUGCAGAGACAACAGGUGUCACAGCCUCACCUGGGAGCCUACUGAGAGCAUCAGAGACCUUGGAAUACAAUUGCAACGGAUCUUUAUACUGAUCACCCUCAGCACUUACAACUGCUCCAUCCUUCAUCUGCACACAAGACUAUCUAGGCAUGGACAAGUACAGACUACUGCUCGGCGUCCUCUUUGUGACUCUGUCUUGGAGUUGUAUGCAGACAUAUGCUCAGAGUACAACCACCGCAAACGCAACAACACCAGGAGCAAACGCAACAACACCAGGAGCAAACGCAACAACACAAGGAACAAUGGCAACAACACAAGGAACAAUGGCAACAACACAAGGAACAAUGGCAACAACACAAGGAGCAAUCACAACGAGGAGCACAAUGCUGUAAACAAUCCAAUCCAUUGCAACAACACCUCAGUGGAAACUCUUGCAACAACUGUUAACAGAAAUGAAUGUGGAAAGACACAGCUGUGUGCAGCAGAGCCUUCUACAUGUGACCCAUCAGCAGGUGCAUCAUGCUUCUUUCUUGGUGCCCAGAAAAAGGAUGGUAACAACUUUGAGUUUGCACUCUCUGGAGAGUCUGAUGGGUACAUUGCAGCAUCUGUGUUGAGUCCUUUCAAUAACAAAGAAGUUACUUAUAUCUGUGCAAACAAAAACAAUGCAGUGAAGUUUUUUGGUGCUGUUCUGGAAAACGGAGGACUAACCAUAACAAAUGUCAGUGCGAACUCUGUGAAGGGCAAAGUGAAUGGCAAAAAAAUCCAGUGUACAUUCUUGGCCACAGUACCAGACACAAAUAUUCCAGCAACCAAGAGAGCACGUAGAGCAACAGACGUCACCCUCUCUGUCUCAACUGGACCAUUCAAUGCAAGUUCAGACAGUCCAGGAGCACCAACCAGAGUCAUAAAAGCAGCCGUUGCAGACCUGGCAAAUGCGAAUAUCACUGUUUCUAAUGACAUUACUAACUCAACAAACACAACUACUGCCCCGACGACAAACACAACUACUGCCCCGACGACAACCACAACUACUGCCCCGACAUCUGCAGUUGGAUCUCUCCAGACAGAUCUCAAUAGCACUGACUGCGGAUCGGGAAAACUUUGCGCAUCUGAGCCCAAGUCAUGCAACCCUGCUACUGGCAACACCUGCUCCUUUUUGUCUGCUAAGCAGAAGAGUGGUCAGAUCUAUUCCUUUGAGCUUUCAGGACUGUCAGAUGGUUACAUCGCCUCUGCCGUAUCAACUGACACUACCGCGGGUAAUGGAGACUCAACCUACGUGUGUGCCAACAACAAUGGUGCAGUUAAAUUCAUCACUGCCAUCUUCAACAAUUCUCAGUUGACUGAGACGUCGCUGAACGUAACAUCUGGCUCUGUGUAUGGCAAGAUUAAAGGCAGACAAAUCCAGUGUGUUUUUGAGGCCACACUUCCAGACACCACUACUCGCGCAGCGACCUAUUCAAUGAUAGUCAUGAAUGGAAGUUACGAUCCCACUGCAAAUUCUUUGGGAAAACCUGUUGUUCUGGUGAGAACCAAUCUUGUAAACUUGUCAGAUCCUACAGCAAAUACACCAACCUUGCUUCUGGAGUGGCACCGCACUACCAUCCGUUAAUGCAAGCUCUGCUGAUCACUUUUGGCAUCCUGGUUCUCACCAUGUUUGGACACUGAUAGAAACCAUGUGACACUUCUCAUCCAUCAGCAAAUGCCUGUGAAUGUAAACUUUGAAGAUUUUAUAGAAGAUAACCUGUGGACAGAGCACUCUCCACAGAUUUCCUUUAAAGCCAUAUAGUACAACUUUGUUAUGUAGCUUUCUGAUGUCUGUAUGAGUUUGUAACCGUAGCAAACAACACAGAAGAGUUCAAUGUCUUGUGUGCAAGUAUUUAAAUGCAUGAAUGUUGGAUUUCUUCUCCUUCAUAAAAGGGUUUAAAAUAUCCAAAUCAAAAUUUCAGACUCAAAUUAAAAAAAAAAAAAAGGCGCUCAUAAAACUUACCUAAAAGUUGCAAACCAAAUUACUGUUUUUCACAAGCAUUGUAUAAUUUAUGAAAAAUGGGUUUUAAGGUCUGGUUAUCUCUAAAACCCUUGUCCUUUCUGUAUUGGACUAAAAUCUGACCAAAAGCUUUGAUUAUUUUAAUUUUUUCGUGUUUUGAUCAUAAUGAUGUAAUUGUAUCAGAGGUAUAUUUUUGCUUCAUUCUUUCAAUGAAUUAAAGUAUCCUGUAAGAAAUAAUCCUUUUGAUAUUUUACCAUGAAGUCAUUUCUGGCUGAUAUUUUUUGUGUGUAUAUAUUUGUGAGUGUAAAUGUGUUACAAUGAAAUUAAAUAUGUUAUCUAAAAUUAUUAAAAGGGAUUUUACAUAUUGCAAACUACUUUUGACCUCACAUUAAUGGUUUGGAAAUAAAGAAUUAAGACAAACUGAUGAUGUCAAUUUGGUUUGUUUGAUGUCAGCGCGCAAAUUGUAUCAAUGAAGCGAUCUUUUGAAAUAGUAACAACCACUGGAGAGCAUCUUGCUAUGGAUGAAUGUU